AUUGAACGCUGGCGGCAGGCUUAACACAUGCAAGUCGAGCGGAGAGAGGUAGCUUGCUACUGAUCUUAGCGGCGGACGGGUGAGUAAUGCUUAGGAAUCCGCCUAUUAGUGGGGGACAACAUUUCGAAAGGAAUGCUAAUACCGCAUACGUCCUACGGGAGAAAGCAGGGGAUCUUCGGACCUUGCGCUAAUAGAUGAGCCUAAGUCGGAGUAGCUAGUUGGUGGGGUAAAGGCCUACCAAGGCGACGAUCUGUAGCGGGUCUGAGAGGAUGAUCCGCCACACUGGGACUGAGACACGGCCCAGACUCCUACGGGAGGCAGCAGUGGGGAAUAUUGGACAAUGGGCGGAAGCCUGAUCCAGCCAUGCCGCGUGUGUGAAGAAGGCCUUAUGGUUGUAAAGCACUUUAAGCGAGGAGGAGGCUACUUUAGUUAAUACCUAGAGAUAGUGGACGUUACUCGCAGAAUAAGCACCGGCUAACUCUGUGCCAGCCGCCGCAGUAA
rnacentral:rRNA from 1 species